CAGGGGGGCAGGUGUACCUUAAUGCAUGGAGUCAACCUCAGGUGUGACCUCUAGCCCACAGCAGCAGCAGCGGAGAACUCACGUUCUUCUCAGAGAAAGGAAAGAAGGGCAGAGCUGAAUCAAGCCUGCCCAGUUGUGCUCCCGAGAAGCACCUGUGCCCAGGCAGUGAGUGAAACUCCUAGAAGGAAGCAUCAGGGGAGGGGGGCAGCAUUCUCUGUCUUAGGAGAACAGACUCGUAAAGUGCGAGAGGUAGUUGCCUUGCUGUCUUGCUCAGAUGUCUUCAAGUCCUCACCUUUGCAUCCCCAACUUUAUUCUGCAGAAGAAAGCAGCCAAUGGCCCUGGGCUUCUUUUGCAGAUAUCUCAACCCCAUCUUUAAUGGCCAGUUCAUCACACUAA
rnacentral:lncRNA from 1 species